rnacentral:rRNA from 1 species
GAUAUAAUGGAAGCGAAUGGAGCUGACGUAUCUUGUGCGUAUUCAAUCCCGCGACACUGCAAUCGCUUCGACGACAUUCCGCAAGGUUGUCUAGGAGUGUUGUUGUUGUGUUCGUUGGAUGCAUUUGCGUGCGGAGUGCGCCGAGUGGGUCGAUGUCGCUGCCGGAAGGGCGUAUAGAGGACUCGGGUUUUCGGACUCGAGAAUCCUGUGCGUUCGGAUAGCAGGUGAUGUUGGCUCGCUGUUGUGGAGUGCGGGUGAAUUCGCGAUGGGCGUCGGUUGUGAGUUGUGAUUGCGGAUGGCACAUGUGUCUUCCGUUUCCGCGGCCUACGAUCGGCGUUCGUUGCCCCGGCACUCGACUCGGUGUAUAGUCGGUCACCCAUUCGACCCGUCUUGAAACACGGACCAAGGAGUUUAAGGUGUACGCGAGUCAUUGAGCUGCGAAACUCAAAGGCGUAAUGAAAGUGAGACAUUGGAUGUCGACGAUGUGAGCGUUGGGCGUUUCGACGUCCGGCGCGCAACAUCGCCCCGUGACUAGGACUUGUUCUGUUGCGGAGGUUGAGCGUACGCUUUGAGACCCGAAAGAUGGUGAACUAUGCCCGAACAGGAUGAAGCCAGA